UACGUAGGGUGCGAGCGUUGUCCGGAAUUAUUGGGCGUAAAGAGCUUGUAGGCGGUCUGUCGCGUCUGCUGUGAAAAUCCGAGGCUCAACCUCGGACUUGCAGUGGGUACGGGCAGACUAGAGUGUGGUAGGGGAGACUGGAAUUCCUGGUGUAGCGGUGGAAUGCGCAGAUAUCUGGAGGAAUACCGGUGGCGAAGGCGGCAUCCUGGACCGGCAUUGACGCUGAGGAGCGAAAGCCAGGGGAGCAAACGGG
rnacentral:rRNA from 1 species